CUGCCAGGAAAAGAAGAGGUUGGUCAUGUGGACAUGGUCUUGCCAAAUGAGGAAGCAGAGAAAUGCUGCUUUAUUCUGGAAGCGUAUUUUACUGCACAGGUGCCUAAUCACCUGGUCCCAUGUCACUGCCUUUAGGUUGAGGCAGCGUGAAGCCCUUUCUUGUUUUGAGAGUGCCAGAGAGCACCGUCUCCUAGCAGUGAGCUUUGCCCAGUGGAGGCUGGAAUUCCUGAGAGCUAAACAGCAGUUGCUGGGAGAGGGAAGCCACAAGCAGCAGGCACCUUGUCAGGCCAAAGCCUGUCACCGCUGGCGAUUGGCCUCAAGGGGACAGAAAGCCUUGCGCCUAGGGUCUGUGGCCACCAUGGAACAGGCCUGCAACUACUGGACAAAAGCAGCUGCCUUCUCCCAGUGCUUGCGGCAGUGCAGUACCCUGAUAGGAGCUAGGAAGAUCAGGAAGAUGGCUCUGUCAUGGUCCAUCAAGAAGAGAGGAUGCAGAGAGAAAGGUUCAC